rnacentral:rRNA from 1 species
GAUGAACGCUGGCGGCGUGCCUAAUACAUGCAAGUCGAACGCGCAGCGAAAGGUGCUUGCACCUUUCAAGCGAGUGGCGAACGGGUGAGUAACACGUGGAUAACCUGCCUCAAGGCUGGGGAUAACAUUUGGAAACAGAUGCUAAUACCGAGUAAAACUUAGUAUCGCAUGAUACAAAGUUAAAAGGCGCUACGGCGUCACCUAGAGAUGGAUCCGCGGUGCAUGAGUUAGUUGGUGGGGUAAAGGCUUACCAAGACGAUGAUGCAUAGCCGAGGUGAGGAACUGAUCGUCCACAAUGGGACUGAGACACGGCCCAACGGCCUACGGGGGGCUGCAGUAGGGAAUCUUCCACAAUGGGCGCAAGCAUAAUGGAGCAACGCCGCGUGUGUGAUGAAAGCGUUCGGGUCGUAACGCACUGUUGUAUGGGAAGAAAUGCUAAAAUAGGGAAUGAUUUUAGUUUGACGGUACCAUACCAGAAAGGGACGGCUAAAUACGUGCCAGCCGCCGCCGUAA